AUUGAACGCUGGCGGCAUGCCUUACACAUGCAAGUCGAACGGCAGCACGGGUGCUUGCACCUGGUGGCGAGUGGCGAACGGGUGAGUAAUACAUCGGAACGUACCUUAUCGUGGGGGAUAACGCAGCGAAAGCUGUGCUAAUACCGCAUACGCCCUGAGGGGGAAAGCGGGGGAUCGAAAGACCUCGCGCGAUUAGAGCGGCCGAUGCCUGAUUAGCUUGUUGGUGGGGUAAAAGCCCACCAAGGCGACGAUCAGUAGCUGGUCUGAGAGGACGAUAAGCCACACGGGGACUGAGACACGGCCCAGACUCCUACGGGAGGCAGCAGUGGGGAAUUUUGGACAAUGGGGGCAACCCUGAUCCAGCAAUGCCGCGUGAGUGAAGAAGGCCUUCGGGUUGUAAAGCUCUUUUGUCAGGGAAGAAACACCGGCUCUAACACAGUCCGGGAAUGACGGUACCUGAAGAAUAAGCACCGGCUAACUACGUGCCAGCAGCCGCCGUAA
rnacentral:rRNA from 1 species